AUCUAGGGCUUUUGGACGACUGCUCAGGAGACAAAGGUCAAAGUGUGCUCAGCUCAAUUGUCUGUAUUCAAGCGCUGACAAGACAGAACAGGCCUCCAGCACGCAGGCUUCUGGCAGAGCAUCAGGCUGGGUGCUUCCUUCUCCUAAAAAGGCCAUAGCACACAUCCCCGGGCCAAGUUAAUUUUCUGGAUGGGAAGGAGCGACUAACAGCUGCCUUCUCUGACCAAGUCAAAAACCUCCUUGUGAUGGGGACUGGCUGAGUGGAGGCUUUCCCAUGUUCUGAGACAGGAGCGAAGGAAGAGCGAGCCAGAUGACACUGGGCAGAGAGGCAGAGAAAUGAGCCAGCAACAUGCCAGGAUGUUCCAUAUGCAUAAAUUGAAUCAGUGAAACACCGGACAGCCACAGGUUGUGGGGACCUGUUGGCCCUUGGAAGGAAGGAAGGAAGAGUGAGUACGACAUAAAGGAAGGGUGAAGGUCCUGGCCCCUUGGUCCGUGCUCUCACCCAGUUCCAACUGAUGUUUUCAGACAUUGAGGAGGCCAUCUGUAGUCUCCACUCAGGCCUCACGGUCCCAUCAAGAACCCAGUGUAGACAUGUGGAUCCCAAGCUACAAGCCAUGCCUCCGAUAUUAAGAGGUGCUGCAGACAGCACAGCUGGAGGAGGAGAACCACAUCUAAGUGUUCUGACGUCAGACACGAAGCUACAGGAGUCACAGUUUGCUCUGUUGGGUUUCAGUCUUGUUUGAUCUGGAAUUUCCUUGCUGACCCCCCC